rnacentral:tRNA from 1 species
GCCAAGGUAGUCAAGCACGGACCACGACGCUGGUCUUGAAAACCAGUUCCUUCACGGGAGCGCGAGUUCAAAUCUCGUCCUUGGCACCA